AGACCUGCAACUUUACUGGCAGCCGCUCAAUCCUUUUAGCCACUUUCGAGCUAAUGGGUCUGACUCUCUCGGCUUCUUUUGGAAUAAAUAAUGGAAACACAUCUGCCGAAACC